CUUGAACGCUGGCGGCAUUCGUUACACAUGCAAGUCGAACGUCAGCACGUGCUUCGUUCUGGUGGCGAGGGGCGGACGGGUGAGUAAUAUCUCGGCACGUACCCAGAAGCUGGCGACCACGGAUCGACAGUUACCCUACUCCCGCAUACGAUCUAUUGAUGAAAGCAGGUGACCGCAAGACCUUGUGCUCCUGCCCCGGCCGGUAUCUGAUUAGCUAGUUGGUGCGGUCAAGACUCACCAAGGCGACGAUCAGUGGCUGGUCUGAGAGGACGACCAGCCACACUGGAACUGAGACACGGUCCAGACUCCUACGGGAGGCAGCAGUGGGGAAUUUUGGACAAUGGGCGCAAGCCUGAUCCAGCAAUGCCGCGUGAGUGAAGAAGGCCUUCGGGUUGUAAAGCUCUUUUGUCAGGGAAGAAACGGUAGAGGCUAAUAUCCUUUGCUAAUGACGGUACCUGAAGAAUAAGCACCGGCUAACUACGUG
rnacentral:rRNA from 1 species